GUCUUACGCAAGGAAAUAGCCAAUCAAACUGAACUUAGUCAAUUGUAGUUCCAUAUAUAUAGAGACAAUUUCUUUUCUUUCUUCCUUUUUUGGCACCUUAUUUUAGGCCUGUAGUAUUGAUUUUGGACUCAGUGGCUAGGAGAAUUAUUACUUUAGGGGAAUUGUCACACUAAUUUCAGUGGAACUAUUUUUUUUAGAUGCACAUGAUGCAACUUCCUGGAUGGUGCUGAGCCUGUUUGUCAACAUAUGGAACCCACGUGUAUUUGGGGGAGUUGUCUCCCUUGUUAAAGAUCAACAAUGGCGGAUAAAAAAUGCGGGAUGCUGUCUUGUCACCAACGGUGAAAUUUGACACCUGUGUACCCGUAUUUCAACCAAUCGUCUCAGUCCUCUCUGUUGUGUACAUCAGACAGAUGAUGGACCACUCUACUUCCUUUUACAACAGGUGCCCCUACAAAUUCACAAAGUUCCAAUGUUGAAUUUCCAUGACCCCGAUUGAUCCGCGACAGGAGAAGGAAUGAAGUUGGCAGGACUUUCCGCACUGUCCUUGGUAGCAGCUGAUGAUGGAACGGACAGCUGUUGACAUGGCCCGUUUCAUCAAAGAUGCACCGGAAGCAGCAGCACUAUCUCCAUCACUGGUGAAAUGGGAAAUGAUGAGUGGACGGUCAUCACUUUGCAGCUCACUGAUGCAUUCCGCAGCCCAUCUCUUUUCGUCUCCAAUGGUGGUCUCUGGAGGAAUGGUUGCAGUGCGGCCUUCAUGUCCGGGGCAGGUAACUUCCUUCCCCUUGGCUCUAAGAUAGGUGCCUUUCUUGCACAGUUUAUUGCCACAAAACACUGCCACAACAUUCUUCUUCUUGGUAACAUUUUCACUUAAAGUGUAUGUCACUUGUGUGGCAGCUUGGAAUGGUGUUUUCCCUAUUGCACUGAAGGUGGCAUUGUUAUACCGGGCAUCUCCUUCCGCUCUUAUAGGUGUAUUGGCAAGUCCACAUUUCUCGUUAAGCUCUUGAAUGUCCUGCCUUAUUUUCUUCAUGCUGUUUUUGUUCACGUCAGUGAUGAUUUUGCCUACUUUGUUGCAGGUCUGAUGAAUGUUUGUGGCUGAUGCUGGUUCGAUGUUUGCGCCAAGAAGCAUACCACGCAUACCCUCUGUUGUAAGGCUGGUACCCAAGUGACCGACAGCCAUGGCAACAUAAAGCUGUGCGGCUCUCCGUCCCCUUCCUGAUCGACUGACUUCCUCGUACAGCUUUUCACUGUGACUGGUGUAAUGGCACUUCUUACAUCGAAUGGAAAGGAUCCAUGCCAGGCCUCUCUUUUCCUCCCCAUGCUGGUUCCAGUCCAGUGAACCGUCACAGUCCGGGAAUUCCUAGCUGCCAUGUCUUCUAAGAGGAACCCCCAUCUUUGAUGACUGAUGGAAAAGCCUCAUCACCCCCCAUUGCUUAAGAACCUCUUAUCUUAAUCACUAGCCAUUAAUCAGUGACCACCGUUAUCAACGCUCCAAGAUGCGCAUGAUGCAACUUCCUGGAUGGUGCUGAGCCUGUUUGUCAACAUGUGGAACCCACGUGUAUUUGGGGGUAGGUAUGUUUACUCUCAAUUAUCUCUCUUAGAAACCGCAUAAGGCGUUAUUUUUCUGAUCUUAAAUUUUUCUUGAAGCAAUUAACUAAAAUUUCUCUUUCAUGAAUUAUAUGCUGAGAGUAUAGUUAAUUAAUUAACUGAAUUAAAGCUAUAUAGUAACAUAUUGAAAUUUAAUUGUAGAUUAAAUUAUUAUUUAUA